rnacentral:rRNA from 1 species
UCGACGGUGAGGGAUGAAAGCUGGGGGAGCAAACCGGAUUAGAUACCCGGGUAGUCCCAGCUGUAAACUAUGCAAACUCAGUGAUGCAUUGGCUUGUGGCCAAUGCAGUGCUGCAGGGAAGCCGUUAAGUUUGCCGCCUGGGAAGUACGUACGCAAGUAUGAAACUUAAAGGAAUUGGCGGGGGAGCACCACAAGGGGUGAAGCCUGCGGUUCAAUUGGAGUCAACGCCAGAAAUCUUACCCGGAGAGACAGCAGAAUGAAGGUCAAGCUGAAGACUUUACCAGACAAGCUGAGAGGUGAUGCAUGGCCGUCGCCAGCUCGUGCCGUGAGAUGUCCUGUUAAGUCAGGUAACGAGCGAGAUCCCUGCCUCUAGUUGCCACCAUUACUCUCAGGAGUAGUGGGGCGAAUUAGCGGGACCGCCGCAGUUAAUGCGGAGGAAGGAAGGGGCCACGGCAGGUCAGUAUGCCCCGAAACUCUGGGGCCACACGCGGGCUGCAAUGGUAACGACAAUUGGUUUCGAAUCCGAAAGGAUGAGGUAAUCCUCAAACGUUACCACAGUUAUGACUGAGGGCUGCAACUCGCCCUCACGAAUAUGGAAUCCCUAGUAACUGCGUGUCAUUAUCGCGCGGUGAAUACGUCCCUGCUCCUUGCACACACCGCCCGU